GAUGAACGCUGGCGGCGUGCUUAACACAUGCAAGUCGAACGAAGCAUUUAGAACAGAUUACUUCGGUUUGAAGUUCUUUAUGACUGAGUGGCGGACGGGUGAGUAACGCGUGGGUAACCUGCCUUGUACUGGGGGAUAGCAGCUGGAAACGGCUGGUAAUACCGCAUAAGCGCACAAUGUUGCAUGACAUGGUGUGAAAAACUCCGGUGGUAUAAGAUGGACCCGCGUCUGAUUAGCUAGUUGGUGAGAUAACAGCCCACCAAGGCGACGAUCAGUAGCCGACCUGAGAGGGUGACCGGUCACAUUGGGACUGAGACACGGCCCAGACUCCUACGGGAGGCAGCAGUGGGGAAUAUUGCACAAUGGAGGAAACUCUGAUGCAGCGACGCCGCGUGAGUGAAGAAGUAAUUCGUUAUGUAAAGCUCUAUCAGCAGGGAAGAUAGUGACGGUACCUGACUAAGAAGCUCCGGCUAAAUACGUG
rnacentral:rRNA from 1 species